UGCCUCUUGGGGAGGCGGCGGCGGCCGGGCGUCGCGGGCCCCCUGGGGACGCCCAGUUAAGAGAGAGUUAAGGGAGGCUGGGCCUUAAAGGGGCGACGGACGCUGCUUUAAAGGGGGAACGGCCUUUUGCGGAAGGGAGUGCGGAACCGGGAGGCGGCGGGGCGGACCCGCUGGGCGGAGAGCUGUCAACUCAGGCGUCUCUCCACCUCGCCCCAGGCUAGGAGGUGAUGCAGGACCCGUGGAUUCCGAGGCUGACUGCACUGAGGAGGAGUAGAAGAGGCUGGGCAGAGUGGUGCAUGCCUGCACUUCCAACACUGGAGAAACUGAGGCUGGAGGGGUGUCCUAGGUCAGGCCGCAAGUGCGGGAAGUGGGACCUAUCCUUAGGAGGCAGUUGUUAAGUUCUUUCUCCACAGCUCUCCACAUGUCAAACUCACAUGGGAUCACGUAUGGCACAGGUAUCAGCAGCCUCCUGGAGUGGUUGCUUCUCCUGGGCCCACCCCUUUUCCCAGCAGGCUGGGGACGUCCCUGUAAGGUGGGAUUAUUCCCACUUUACAGAUGAGAAAGAUGAGGUGCAGAGGAAGGUAAGUAUCACAAGACAAAUCUACUUGGUAGCUGGCUGGGUUCAUAGAGUAGUGUGUGAGAAACACAUUCCAGAGGAUGUACCAACUUGAUGCAUCUCUGUCUCAGGAACAAGAUAGCCAUUGGCCCACAGCACACAGGGUGCCUCCCCGUUCCUGAAUCCUGCGGCAUCAGCCCACAGCUCCCCCACGUCAAACUCAGCAUCACAAAUGACACCGAUCUACCAGUGGCUUCCUGGAGUGCCUGAUGAUCCGCCCCUUUCCCCGGCGGCUCGGCUUUCCAGUGCACCCAGCAGGGGGCAUCCUUGUCCUUCCACUGUCCACCCUGGGGGCCGGCUUGGCCUGCUGCCAGCAGUGCCUUCCAAUCAGCAAUGCCCAAGAGUCAGCCCGAGGCCAACUCCCCAAAUGUAGUCCUGUGUCUUCCUUCCGCCACAGCUACUGUACUAUUAUUUACAUUGGUUUUUUUUUUCCCCUUUGUCAACUCAACAUUUUUAAAAGCUUUAAUGCUGUUUUGGUAGAGUCUCACUACAUUGUCCCGGUCUCUAGGUUAGCCUGGAGCUCCAGCCAGAGCUCUAGCCAUCCUCUGGCCUCAGCCUUCCAACGAACUGUGACUAUAGGCAUGCGCCACCAUGCUGGGCAGCCUAUGUGUAUUUUUAAACGAGGAAACCCCCUGUUCAAUAAAGGUCUUUCGAGUGGCUUGCCAUUCUUAGGGCUGGCAUCAGGAUUUGGUAGGAGCCUGCAGGCCUCCAUUGAAGUUAUAGUUGGGAAUCCCAGGACCAUCGAUGGGUAAGGAUAUAAAACCGUUGUUCUGUGGGCUUAGGGCCUGAGAUUGAAGGAGCAGAGUCCAGAAAUCUUGGAAGGAGGAACAGAAACACCCCUCCUCCCUUGCAGAUUCUCUUCUAGGCCCAUGGCUGCCGGCAAGACAGGAAGGAGGAACUUGGACGUGGGGGCCAGAUCCGUCGCAGGUGACAGGUGUAGGGCUUUGGGAAGGGACAGGGAUUUCCCUUGCAAACUUCAUUCAAACAGACAGGGAUCCUGAUCCCAGGGAGACAGGCAGAUGUGCAGGGGCUCCCAGGAGGCCCCCAGGAAGGUCCAGCGCUAGAGGGAGUGGG